AACGAACGCUGGCGGCAGGCCUAACACAUGCAAGUCGAGCGCGCCUUCGGGUGAGCGGCGGACGGGUGAGUAACGCGUGGGAAUAUGCCCUUCUCUACGGAAUAGUCCUGGGAAACUGGGGGUAAUACCGUAUACGCCCUUUGGGGGUAAGAUUUAUCGGGGAAGGAUUAGCCCGCGUUGGAUUAGGUAGUUGGUGGGGUAAUGGCCUACCAAGCCGACGAUCCAUAGCUGGUUUGAGAGGAUGAUCAGACACACUGGGACUGAGACACGGCGCAGACUCCUACGGGAGGCAGCAGUGGGGAAUCUUAGACAAUGGGGGCAAUCCUGAUCUAGCCAUGCCGCGUGAGUGAUGAAGGCCGUAGGGUUGUAAAGCUCUUUCAGCUGGGAAGAUACUGACGGUACCAGCAGAAGAAGCACCGGCUAACUCCGUG
rnacentral:rRNA from 1 species